rnacentral:rRNA from 1 species
GGUACAGAUUAGCUAGUUGGUGAGGUAAAAGCUCACCAAGGCGACGAUCUGUAGCUGGUCUGAGAGGACGACCAGCCACACUGGAACUGAAACACGGCCCAGACUACUACGGGAGGCAGCAGUGGGGAAUUUUGGACAAUGGGCGAAAGCCUGAUCCAGCAAUGCCGCGUGUGUGAAGAAGGCCUUCGGGUUGUAAAGCACUUUUGUCCGGAAAGAAAUCCUCUGGGUUAAUACCUCGGGGGGAUGACGGUACCGGAAGAAUAAGCACCGGCUAACUACGUGCCAGCAGACGCGGGUAAUACGUAGGGUGCAAGCGUUAAUCGGAAUUACUGGGCGUAAAGCGUGCGCAGGCGGUUUUGUAAGACGGAUGUGAAAUCCCCGGGCUUAACCUGGGAACUGCAUUCGUGACUGCAAGGCUAGAGUAUGGCAGAGGGGGGGUAGAAUUCCACGUGUAGCAGUGAAAUGCGUAGAGAUGUGGGAGGAAUACCGAUGGCGAAGGCAGCCCCCUGGGCCAAUACUGACGCUCAUGCACGAAAGCGUGGGGAGCAAACAGGAUUAGAUACCCUGGUAGUCCACGCCCUAAACGAUGUCAACUAGUUGUUGGGGAUUCAUUUCCUUAGUAACGUAGCUAACGCGUGAAGUUGACCGCCUGGGGAGUACGGUCGCAAGAUUAAAACUCAAAGGAAUUGACGGGGACCCGCACAGCGGUGGAUGAUGUGGAUUAAUUCGAUGCAACGCGAAAACCUUACUACC